GACGAGGUUAAUAGGUUCGAGGUGGAAGCGUGGUGACACGUGGAGCUGACGAAUACUAAUCGAUCGAAGACUUAAUCAAUUU
rnacentral:rRNA from 1 species